rnacentral:rRNA from 1 species
GACGAACGCUGGCGGCGUGCUUAACACAUGCAAGUCGAACGGAAAGGCCCUGCUGUUGUUGGGUUCUCGAGUGGCGAACGGGUGAGUAACACGUGAGUAACCGGCCCUUGACUUUGGUAUAACUUCAGGAAACUCGUGCUAAUACCGGAUAGUAGCUCCUGCGGCAUGGUGGGGCUUGCAGAGUUUCGUCGGUUGGGGAUAGACUCGCGGCUUGUCAGCUUGGUGGUGGGGUAGUGGCUUACCCAGGCUUUGACGGUUAGCCGACCGGUGAGGGUGCACGGGCAAAUUAGCGUUGAGAUCCGGCACAGAUUCCUACGUGAGGUAGAAGGGGGAAAUUGUCCAGAUUGGGCGGGAGCCUGAUGCAGCAACGCCGCGUGCGGGAAGUCGAACUUUGGGUUGUAAACCGCUUUCGCCUGUGACAUGGCGUGCGUGACGGUAAUGGGUACAGAAGCAACGGCCAACUACGUG